GAGUCCAUCUAGUCCAGCUCUCUGCUACUCGCAGUGGCCCACCAGAACAGUGGUAAUUCAGGGAUAUCUCCAGCCCCCUCCUGGAGGAUGACAACUCUAAACCCUUGCUUAAAGAGGACGUAGACAUGCUUGGCCAUUACAAAGCUGAAUAUCGAAAAGCUAUAUACAGCUGUUCCUUCCACAUUGUGGGAGCCAGGGACACAGCGCCCCCCACGAUCUGGAAAUCUGCGUAAAAUCUUGUGGCCCUCCCUUUGUGCCAGAGAAGAAGUCUGAUCUUUUUUUGUUUUAUUUUAACUUUUAAAAAUAGUGUAUAUUUGUGGUUUAAAAAUAAAAUAAAAUAUGGUGAUAUUAUACAAUCUUA